rnacentral:rRNA from 1 species
AGCUCUAAUAGCGUAUAUUAAAGUUGUUGCGGUUAAAAAGCUCGUAGUUCAAUCUCAGAUAGUUUUUUUAAAGUGUUGAAUUGCUCAUUGAGUAUAUUUGAUCUUGGCUAUCUUCUUUUUACUUGUCAGUUGCUCGCUAUGAUCUUAACUGAUUGUAGAGUAUUAGAGUUCUGACGCUUUUACUUUGAGUAAUUUAGAGUGUUCAAAGCAGACAAAAUUUUAGUCACUGAAUACAUUAGCAUGGGAUAAUGGAAUAGGACUUUGUUUCUAUUUCGUUGGUUUCUGGGAACAGAGUAAUGAUUAACAGGGACAGUUGGGGGCAUUCGUAUUUAAUUGUCAGAGGUGAAAUUCUUGGAUUUGUUAAAGACGAACUACUGCGAAAGCAUUUGCCAAGGAUGUU